UACGUAGGGUGCAAGCGUUGUCCGGAAUUAUUGGGCGUAAAGAGCUCGUAGGCGGUUUGUCGCGUCUGCCGUGAAAGUCCGGGGCUUAACCCCGGGCCUGCAGUGGGUACGGGCAGACUAGAGUGCGGUAGGGGAGACUGGAAUUCCUGGUGUAGCGGUGAAAUGCGCAGAUAUCAGGAGGAACACCGAUGGCGAAGGCAGGUCUCUGGGCAUUAACUGACGCUGAGGAGCGAAAGCAUGGGGAGCGAACAGG
rnacentral:rRNA from 1 species